rnacentral:rRNA from 1 species
UAAACAAGAGCAAGACCGCGUGGGGGAGGAAAGCCUUUGGGUUGUAAACCCCUUUUCUCAGGGAAGAAGAAAGUGACGGUACCUGAGGAAUCAGCCUCGGCUAACUCCGUGCCAGCAGCCGCGGUAAUACGGAGGAGGCAAGCGUUAUCCGGAAUGAUUGGGCGUAAAGCGUUCGUAGGUGGCAAUUCAAGUCUGCUGUCAAAGACAGUAGCUCAACUACUGCAAGGCAGUGGAAACUGAAUAGCUAGAGUGCGGUAGGGGCAGAGGGAAUUCCCGGUGUAGCGGUGAAAUGCGUAGAGAUCGGGAAGAACACCGGUGGCGAAAGCGCUCUGCUGGGCCGCAACUGACACUGAGGGACGAAAGCUAGGGGAGCGAAUGGGAUUAGAUACCCCAGUAGUC